UACAUUGUUUUUAAUUUUAGUGUAAUGUAGAUGGCGUGAUGUCAAUUUUCUUAAACAUGUUCGAUGAUAAUUUUCAGUCUCUUGCGACAGGACGCGAAAACUUAGAGAACACUAUGACAAAGGUGAAUGCCUGAAAACUUGUAAAGAAAAUUGCGAGAAAUGGAGAUAUAUUUAUACCAUUAAGGAAAGCGACAUUUCAUAUCCAGAGGAUAAGCCAGAUUACUUUAUUAUCAAAGAUUCUGCAUUUGUGGAGCUGUAUUUGCAGGACCCCCCUCUAACAGUUAUUUCACAUAAGCCACGUAUUGAAACCAUUGAAGCGUUCAGUUACAUCGGAGGUUACCUGGGCUUAUGGCUGGGACUUUCAGCAUUCGCUUUCAUUGACUUUCUUCAUUCAUUGAUUGAAUUACUCUACCACUUUGUUCAAAAAACGUUUCGAAAGCUUGAAGUGUUUUAAAUUUUUGCAACCUAA